rnacentral:rRNA from 1 species
UACGAAGGGGGCUAGCGUUGCUCGGAAUGACUGGGCGUAAAGGGCGCGUAGGCGGCGAUCACGGUUAGAUGUGAAAUUCCUGGGCUUAACCUGGGGGCUGCAUUUGAUACGUGGUUGCUUGAGUGGGGAAGAGGGUCGUGGAAUUCCCAGUGUAGAGGUGAAAUUCGUAGAUAUUGGGAAGAACACCGGUGGCGAAGGCGGCGACCUGGUCCUUGACUGACGCUGAGGCGCGAAAGCGUGGGGAGCAAACAGG